AAUGAACGCUGGCGGCGCGCCUAAUACAUGCAAGUCGAGCGAGAAGACGUAGCAAUACGUUUGUAAAGCGGCGAACGGGUGAGGAAUACAUGGGUAACCUACCCUCGAGUGGGGAAUAACUAGCCGAAAGGUUAGCUAAUACCGCGUACGCUCCUUGGACUUCGGUUCAGGGAGGAAAGCGAUACCGUGGGUAUCGCGCUCUUGGUUGGGCUCAUGUCCUAUCAGCUUGUUGGUGAGGUAACGGCUCACCAAGGCUUCGACGGGUAGCUGGUCUGAGAGGACGAUCAGCCACACUGGCACUGCGACACGGGCCAGACUCCUACGGGAGGCAGCAGUAAGGAAUAUUGCGCAAUGGGCGAAAGCCUGACGCAGCGACGCCGCGUGGGGGAUGAAGGUCUUCGGAUUGUAAACCCCUUUCGGGAGGGAAGAUGGAACGAGCAAUCGUUCGGACGGUACCUCC
rnacentral:rRNA from 1 species